AGCGGGAUAACUAGGUCAAAUGGUGGUUCCAUUUCAAGUUUUCUAAGGAAUAUCCAUACUGCUUUGCAGAACAGUUGCACCACUUUGCAGUCCCACCAGCAAU
rnacentral:pre_miRNA from 1 species